rnacentral:rRNA from 1 species
GAGUUUGAUCUUGGCUCAGAACGAACGCUGGCGGCAGGCUUAACACAUGCAAGUCGAACGCGUGUAGCAAUACACGAGUGGCGCACGGGUGAGUAACACGUGGAUAUCUGCCUUUUGGUUCGGGAUAACCCUGGGAAACUAGGGCUAAUACCGAAUGGUUCCUACGGGAUAAAGAUUUAUCGCCAAAAGAUGAGUCCGCGUCCGAUUAGCUAGUUGGUGAGGUAAUGGCUCACCAAGGCGACGAUCGGUAGCUGGUCUGAGAGGACGAUCAGCCACACUGGGACUGAGACACGGUCCAGACUCCUACGGGAGGCAGCAGUGGGGAAUAUUGGACAAUGGGCGCAAGCCUGAUCCAGCCAUGCCGCGUGGGUGAUGAAGGCCCUAGGGUUGUAAAGCCCUUUCGGCGGGGAAGAUAAUGACGGUACCCGCAGAAGAAGCCCCGGCUAACUUCGUGCCAGCAGCCGCAGU